UUUAUGACAUACAAAUAGAAAACCACAUUUCCUUAUGACUGUAUGAAUACAUUGUUAUCUACAUUGGCUUAUGUACAAAAAAUAAAGUGAUUCAUUAACAAACGUAUAGGUACAUAAAUAUCAGUAAGAGAGAGGUCAUCACAUGACUGUGAUGGGAAAACAUGAAUAAAUACAUAAAUGGUAUAUUACAUCAGCUUAAACAAGAGCUGUCAAAAUGACAGUAAACCAGAUUCUGUAACAUUUAUUUGUGUUCUGGCAUUUAUCAAUAUUACAAGGACCAAAACUCCUAAUAGGUAAAAUUUAUGAUUAUCAAUAUCAAACUUGACUUCCAUG
rnacentral:lncRNA from 1 species